UACGUAGGUGGCAAGCGUUGUCCGGAAUUAUUGGGCGUAAAGCGCGCGCAGGCGGCCUUUUAAGUCUGAUGUGAAAGCCCACGGCUCAACCGUGGAAGGUCAUUGGAAACUGAAAGGCUUGAGUACAGAAGAGGAAAGCGGAAUUCCACGUGUAGCGGUGAAAUGCGUAGAGAUGUGGAGGAACACCAGUGGCGAAGGCGGCCUGCUGGGCAGUUGCUGACACUGAGGCGCGACAGCGUGGGGAGCAAACAGG
rnacentral:rRNA from 1 species